GGCCUCAGAAAAAAAUCCACCCUGCUAAGAGCUUGAUCUUGGACUUACAGCCUCCAGGACUAUCUCAAAUUAACAGCCCAUUAUUAUGGAAGUUCUUUAUUGAUCGCCAAAAUGGGUUAGGUAUACCUGUUUCAUCAUUGCCUAGAAUACCCUACUUCAAACAAUGAAACUCACUUUCAAUCUAUCAUCAUCUUUCACUCUUCAGUGAAACCCCAUGUAGCUUCCAGAUGUGGUUUCAGGAUUUCUCUAUAUUGUUGGAGAGAACUGAAAGUCAUAGAGGACACCAAGCAUCACGCCUGACCAGCAAUGGAACAGCCCUACCUUAAUGUUUAUCACUUCGCUUCCACUUUCCUAAUUUCACUCAAGUUUCUAUUACUGAGAAACUCAAACUUGUACUAAAACAAAGAAGAGGAUUCCAAGGAAAAACAAGAACCUGAGACCUGCCGAACAGCAGGUGCCAAAGAUGCUGCUGUAACACCACAGCCCUCCCAUCUUCCAUCCUCCACUGGCGCUGAGUGGCAGUCCCAUGUGACAGGAAGUGGAGGCAGAGCUGGGCCAGCCCAGGAGCCACGUGCUGGAGCCAGAUACUCUGUUUUUCUACAAAUGGAAAGUUUGUGGCAUCCUUGACUCAAGCAAAUUUUUCAGCACCAUUUUUCAAGAGCGUGUGCUCACUUCACCUCUCUGUAUCGUGUUUUGAUGCUUGUCCUGGAAACCAACCAUGAGCUGUGAUGAAAUCCAGGCAACUGAGUUGUGUUUCAGCCCAAAGCAGCAAAUGGAAUCCAGCUUCAGGACCAUCAUCUGACAUAGGGGAAGAAGACUUACAUAGAAGGCCUAACCAGCACCCAAGAUCAUGCUCAUAGGUGGAGGAGACUUGCUUUGUCUCAGAUGAGACUUUGGACUGUGGACUUUUGAGUUAAUGCUGAAAUGAGUUGAGACUUUGGGGAACUGUUGGGAAGGCAUGAUUGGUUUUAAAUAUGAAUAUAUGAGAUUUGGGAGGGGGUCAGGGGUGGAAUGAUAUGGUUUGGCUCUGUGUCCCCACCCAAAUCUCAUCUUGUAGCUCCCAUAAUCCUCCCAUGUUGUGGGAGGGACCCAGUGGGAGAUGAUUGAAUCAUGAGGGCGGGUCUUUCUCAUGCUGUUCAUGAUCCCAUUCAUGUGAGAAAGACCCAUGUGAUCAUGAAUGGGUCUCACAAGAUCUGAUGGUGUUAAAAAUGGGAGUUUCUCUGCACAAGCUCUCUGCCUGCUGCCAUUCACAAAGGAUGUGACUUGCUUCUCCUUGCCUUCUGCUAUGAUUGUGAGGCCUCCCUAGCCAUGUGGAACUGUGAGUCCAAUUAAACCUCUUUCUUUUGUAAAUUG
ensembl:lncRNA LINC02882 long intergenic non-protein coding RNA 2882